rnacentral:rRNA from 1 species
CCCGCUGAACUUAAGCAUAUCAAUAAGCGGAGGAAAAGAAACUAACAAGGAUUCCCCUAGUAACUGCGAGUGAAGCGGGAAGAGCUCAAAUUUGAAAUCUGGCGGUUCCUUGGGCUGUCCGAGUUGUAAUCUAGAGAAGUGCUACCUGUGCUGGACCGUGUACAAGUCUCCUGGAAUGGAGCAUCACAGAGGGUGAGAAUCCCGUCUUUGACACGGACUGCCAUGUGCGAUAUGGUGCGCUCUCGAAGAGUCGAGUUGUUUGGGAAUGCAGCUCAAAACGGGUGGUAAAUGCCAUCUAAAGCUAAAUAUUGGCGAGAGACCGAUAGCGAACAAGUACCGUGAGGGAAAGAUGAAAAGAACUUUGGAAAGAGAGUUAAACAGUACGUGAAAUUGCUGAAAGGGAAACGCUUGAAGUCAGUCGCGUCUGCUGGAAAUCAGUCUUGCUUCUGCUUGACGUACUUUCUGGCUCUACGGGGCAGCAUCAGUUUUGACCGCCGGAUAAAGUCGUUGGGAAUGUGGCAUCUUGGGAUGUGUUAUAGACCAGGGUUCGGAUACAGUGGUUGGGAUUAAGGAACUCAGCACCCUGCAAGGCCGGGGCGCUUCGACUAAGUUCGUGCUUAGGAUGCUGGCAUAAUGGCUUUAAUCGACCCGUCUUGAAACACGG